AGUGAACGCUGGCGGUAGGCCUAACACAUGCAAGUCGAACGGCAGCACAGUAAGAGCUUGCUCUUACGGGUGGCGAGUGGCGGACGGGUGAGGAAUACAUCGGAAUCUACUUUUUCGUGGGGGAUAACGUAGGGAAACUUACGCUAAUACCGCAUACGACCUACGGGUGAAAGCAGGGGAUCUUCGGACCUUGCGCGAUUGAAUGAGCCGAUGUCGGAUUAGCUAGUUGGCGGGGUAAAGGCCCACCAAGGCGACGAUCCGUAGCUGGUCUGAGAGGAUGAUCAGCCACACUGGAACUGAGACACGGUCCAGACUCCUACGGGAGGCAGCAGCGGGGAAUAUUGGACAAUGGGCGCAAGCCUGAUCCUGCCAUACCGCGUGGGUGAAGAAGGCCUUCGGGUUGUAAAGCCCUUUUGUUGGGAAAGAAAAGCAGCAGGUUAAUACCCCGCUGUUCUGACGGUACCCAAAGAAUAAGCACCGGCUAACUUCGUG
rnacentral:rRNA from 1 species